rnacentral:lncRNA from 1 species
UGACCUAUCCACCACGCUCUGUAUAAAUGGAAUAAUCUCCACAAGUACAGUACACCAUCACAUGCUGGGUCGAAGGCAUGCUCCAAGCCAUACAGUACACACCGAUACACGGGACCUAUCCACCACGCUCUGUAUAAAUGGAAUAAUCUCCACAAGUACAGUACACCAUCACAUGCUGGGUCGAAGGCAUGCUCCAAGCCAUACAGUACACACCGAUACACGGGCGCGCGCCUAGUCACCAAAGCGCAUGCAUAUGCUUCGCCUUCGCCUUCGCCAGGGGGCAAUGCAGAGCGACACUCUGGCCUGGAAAGAAGCGCGGGAUAUAAAAAGGAGAUCUAGCUGUAUGGGACAAUAGGGAAAAGCCUAGAAAAGGAUCGAACAGCGGGCGACCAGUUCGGGGCACCCGCGCUGUGGUGGUAGGCCAAGGAGUAAUUUCGCAACCAAUUCCCACCAGCGGCAGGGAUGGGUUGUGAUUUCUGAAGCGCCUGGGCUAUAAGGUUUGGUCUUUGGCGCACCAGUUCUAAGGUUUUGCUGCUGUUUCCCACUUUCUUGUUGCUAAAAUAAAGCUACUUGUUCCAUUUUCCUUUGGCUUGAGUGAGCUCAUCAUUCCCCCCUUUCCCGUGCUUUUGUCUUUUCGAUGUUCGCUAAGACCUCACCUCACCAUAGGCUUCCCUGCUGCGUCAACUCGUACUCACUUUCUCCGGCCUAAGUUGAGUGUAGAACUAAACUUUCUAGGAGUUGCACACCUCUCAUUGCCUAUUAUAUACAUCUUUCUAGGAAGGGUGGUAUUAUUUUGACUCUCUUGAAGCCCUCCUCCCCCCCUCUCUUCCAUGGGAGACUCCAAAGAAAGAGAACCUCUUCCACGGCUGCUUGAUCUUAUCCCGGAUGGGAAACAAUGUAAGGGGAGGGAAGCACAAGGCGCAGGAAGAUCAUCAAGGAACACAGGCUUUGGGAGCGAGGAGGACAAGCACCUAGAGCUCAAACUCGGUCCUCCGGGUCUCGUCGAACAAGGGGCGACAGCAGCAGCGUCAAGAGGGAUACAGCGAGAGAUUCCGGCUCUCUCGCUUGGUUGCUUCCCACAUAAACCCUCCUCCAAGCCUGCAAUAAACACUACUGCGACUGGGACAAAGAGGGGGUUCUUAGACACCAUUGAGGCCAAAACAGAAGGUACCUAGCACACUUUAGCAGAAUUCUUGUCUUGUGCUCUUGUUUACUAGUAGAGAUCAGGAACAUAGAAACGAAAUACUCUCUUGUUCUGUUGCUCAAAGCUCUAUGAUAGAAAUUUUGUUCUGUUGCCUGAAGAUUGUAAUGAUAUACGUUGUUCUAUUGUUUAAAGGUCGUGAUGAGCAGAAGCAGCAGGCUGGAGCUGGAUGUGGGAAGGAACUAGCACUGGACCAGAAGAUAACAGCCGCGAGCGAGAGAAAGAAAGGAUUCUGCCCGCCAACAUCACAGCAUGCCCCUCCUCCUGCUGCUGCAACUGUGCACGACAGAUCACACGCCCAGGGAAGGUAAUCAUAGACAUAGAGACGCUCUCUUUCUUUCUUUCUUUUUUUCUUUUUCUUUUUUUUUACUUUAAGUCAAAAUGACGACUUAAGGGUUUAACUUUCUUGCUCAAAAGUUGUUCCCUUCAGUUUGUUAAAUCAUAUCAUUUUUUCCCAUAAAAGGUGGUCAACUUUUACUCAAGUGCAAUGAGUUUUUUGGGUGGUUUUAUCAUUUCCUAAACUGGUGGUUUUGAACUUUACGGUGUAGCUUUAGGCCUUGAGCACCUCUUUUGGACUAUGGUCGCUAUGGACCUAUGGUAUUCUUGUUAGCACACAGUUGCGCUAACAUUAUCAAUGGUAUAGUCAGCUAUAAUACUUCAGACAGACUAACUCACCGGCCCAAUUAUCUGGUACAGAAGGUCUUCAGCUCCGGUUGUCGGUUGGCCUCCAGUGAGAUCCUUCAGGAGAAAUCUUGCUCAUGGCAGUUCAUCCAAACAAUCCAUUGAGCCACAAAAUACUGAAGCUAGCAUGAAGGAGAAGCUUGCCUGCAAGAAGAAUCCUCUUGUAAAAAUCAACAUGGAUGGAAUCCCCAUUGGAAGGAAAGUAGACCUUGGAGCCUAUGACAGCUACGAGAGGCUAUCAUUGGGCGUCAAAGAGCUUUUCCAUGGUUUUCUUGAAGGUGCCAAAAUCAACAAUCAGUUCGAAUGAAACAAUUACUUAGAUUCAUUUUAGAGCUUUCAAUUGUGCACCUUUAUUAAGUUCAAAAAAUUUGUGCACCUUUACAACAUGAAAUUGUAAUCUUCUUUCCUUUAACACUGUGUUUUGCCUAUGUUGCAGCUCAAAAGGAUCUAUCUAGUGCUGGAAGUACACAGCCAGGGGCCACUGAAAAAAUAUUUUCUCAAUUAUUGGAUGGAUCUGGUGAAUAUACUCUAGUUUACCAAGACAAUGAAGGAGACAGGAUGCUGGUAGG